rnacentral:rRNA from 1 species
GUGCCAGCAGCCGCGGUAAUACCGGCAGCCCGAGUGAUGGCCGCUAUUAUUGGGCCUAAAGCGUCCGUAGCUGGCUGCGCAAGUCCGUCGGGAAAUCCACUCGCUCAACGAGUGGGCGUCCGACGGAAACUGCACAGCUUGGGACCGGAAGGCUCGAAGGGUACGUUCGGGGUAGGAGUGAAAUCCCAUAAUCCCGCACGGACCACCGAUGGCGAAGGCGCUUCGAGAAAACGGAUCCGACAGUGAGGGACGAAGGCCAGGGGCUCCAACCGGAUUAGAUACCCGUGUAGUCC